rnacentral:rRNA from 1 species
UACGUAGGGUGCAAGCGUUGUCCGGAAUUAUUGGGCGUAAAGAGCUCGUAGGCGGUCUGUCGCGUCUGCUGUGAAAACUCAGGGCUUAACCCUGAGCUUGCAGUGGGUACGGGCAGACUAGAGUGCGGUAGGGGAGACUGGAAUUCCUGGUGUAGCGGUGAAAUGCGCAGAUAGUCAGGAGGAACACCGGUGGCGAAGGCGGGUCUCUGGGCCGUAACUGACGC